rnacentral:rRNA from 1 species
GAUCCUGGCUUAGAUUGAACGCUGGCGGCAGGCCUAACACAUGCAAGUCGAACGGUAACAGGAAACAGCUUGCUGUUUCGCUGGCGAGUGGCGGACGGGUGAGUAAUGUCUGGGAAACUGCCUGAUGGAGGGGGAUAACUACUGGAAACGGUAGCUAAUACCGCAUAACGUCGCAAGACCAAAGAGGGGGACCUUCGGGCCUCUUGCCAUCGGAUGUGCCCAGAUGGGAUUAGCUAGUAGGUGGGGUAACGG